GAAGAAGAAGAAGAUGAUGAUGGUCAUUGCAAAUUUAGAUCAAGUGAAUCACUUCUUCCAGGCCUACAUGAUGAUGUUGCUUUAACAUGUCUUGCUCGGGCAUCUAGAUCAGAUUAUGCAUCGUUGUCGUGCCUGAAUGCUAGGUUUAAUUCAUUAGUCAAGAGUGGUUAUUUAUAUGAAUUAAGGAGGCGGAUAAGUGUUGUUGAACACUGGGUUUAUAUGGUUUGUGAUCCUCGGGGUUGGGAGGCUUUUGAUCCUUUCAGAAAAAAAUGGUUGAGAUUACCGAAAAUUCCCUGUGAUGAUUGCUUUAAUUAUGCAGAUAAGGAGUCAUUAGCGGUUGGUAGUGAAUUACUGGUUUUUGGCCGUGAGUUAUUUGAUUUUGCUAUAUGGAAAUACAGUUUGAUUCAAAACAACUGGGAAAAAUGUGAAGGGAUGAAUCAUCGUCGUUGUCUGUUUGGAUCGGGUAGUCUUGGUUCAAUUUCUAUUGUUGCAGGGGGUAGUGACAAGAAUGGGAAUGUACUAAAAUCUGCCGAGCUUUAUGAUUCUUUGACUGGUACAUGGGAAAUACUGCCCAACAUGCAUUCUCCCCGCAGAUUAUGCUCUGGCUUUUUCAUGGAUGGAAAAUUUUAUGUGAUAGGUGGGAUGACUAAUCCUACCGAUUCUUUGACUUGUGGGGAAGAGUUUGAUCUACAAACAAGGAAGUGGAGGAAAAUUGAGGGCAUGUAUCCAAACGUCAAUAGAGCUGCUCAGGCACCUCCUCUUGUUGCAGUUGUUAAUAACCAACUAUAUGCAGUUGAAUAUCUAACCAACAUGGUUAAGAAGUAUGACAAGAAAAAUAACUCAUGGGAGGUAUUGGGAAGACUUCCCGUGAGGGCUGAUUCUUCGAAUGGUUGGGGUCUUGCUUUCAAAGCAUGUGGUGAAGAACUUCUUGUGGUAGGUGGCAACAGGGGUCCAGAAGGUGAAGCUAUUAUAUUGAGUUCUUGGGCACCAAAAUCAGGGUGUAAAGACGGCACCUUGGAUUGGAAGGUCAUCGGCCUAAAAGAGCAUUCUGGUGUCUUUGUAUACAAUUGUGCCGUGAUGGGUUGUUGAGACUCAUCCAACCAAAUGGAGAAAGAAGUCAUUUGUUUCAACUGUUGUUUCUAGCGUAAUUCCAACACAUUGUUUGAUUUAUUAGCAUUUCUUUUUAUUUAACAUCUUUCAGGUGUUUGAGAUAAGCAGUUGUUCUUAGCUAAAAUGUCCUCUUAACUGGAUGGUUAUUUUCACUCACUCAUUCUGCAGACUGUUUGCUUC
rnacentral:misc_RNA from 1 species